AUAAAAAUAGUUUAUUUAAAAUUUUUACUUUGGGAGUAAAAGAUUGAUUAUCGUCAUUUUUAUA
rnacentral:tRNA from 1 species